rnacentral:rRNA from 1 species
AAUGAACGUUGGCGGCGUGGAUUAGGCAUGCAAGUCGAGCGCGAACCCCGCAAGGGGUGAAAGCGGCGAAAGGGAGAGUAACGCGUGGGUAUCUGCCGUCGGGACUGGGAUAGCUGCGGGAAACUGCAGGUAAUACCAGAUGACGUCCCCGGACCAAAGGUGUGAUUCCGCCUGAGGAUGAGCCCGCGUCCUAUUAGCUAGUUGGUAGGGUAAUGGCCUACCAAGGCAAUGAUGGGUACUGGGUGUGAGAGCACGACCCAGCUCACUGGGACUGAGACACUGCCCAGACACCGACGGGUGGCUGCAGUCGAGAAUCUUCGGCAAUGGGCGAAAGCCUGCCCGAGCGACGCCGCGUGUGGGAUGAAGGCCUUCGGGUUGUAAACCGCUGUCAGAGGGGAGGAAUGGGCGGAGGGUAAUCUCUUCGUUUUGACCUAUCCUCAGAGGAAGUACGGGCUAAGUUCGUGCCAGCCGCCGCCGUAA